rnacentral:rRNA from 1 species
AUAGAACGCUAGGCGGCAGGACUUAACACAUGACAAGUCGGAGGGGACAACGACGGGUAGCAAAUACCGUGGUGGCGACCGGCGACGAAGGGUGACGUAACGCGUGAGCAACAUGCCCUAUACAGGGGGAUAAUCCAGGGAAACUUGGUCUAAUAUCCCAUAGUAUUUAGAGGUGGCAUCACCACUAAAUUAAAGCUUCGGUGGUAUAGGAUUGGCUCGCGUGACAUUAGCUGGAUGGUGGGGUAACGGCUCACCAUGGCGAUGAUGUCUAGGGGUUCUGAGAGGAAGACCCCCCACACUGGGACUGAGACACGGCCCAGACUCCUACGGGAGGCAGCAGUGAGGAAUAUUGGACAAUGGAUGGAAAUCUGAUCCAGCCAUGCCGCGUGCAGGAAGACGGCCCUAUGGGUUGUAAACUGCUUUUAUAUGGGAGCAAUAAGGUUUACGCGUAGACCGAUGAGAGUACCAUAUGAAUAAGCAUCGGCUAACUCCGUG